GGUGUGUGUGACCGGGUUUUGUGUUUUGUGCCGCAGUGCGUAAACGUGGGAGGAUACAGGACAGGAGACCUGGAACGUCCGUGCCGUGAGAGACCGGCCGGUCCUCCUGCAGUCCUCUCACACCUGCAGGGUCAGAACAGGUGAACAGACUGAGACGGCUGUUGGUGUGCAGUCCCUGACAGGAGCAGCGGAAGAGCCUUAAGGAAGCGGGGCUCUCCCAGAAGAGAGAGGCACGCAAACACUGCUGCUGUAAAGCUUCAGGUGAUGGGCUGCGACAAUUGCGUGUGCAGCCCUGAGCUCCUCUGCACUCAGCGGUGAGAAACGGGACCCGCCAGAGAUCUGUCAGAGCGCUCCGUCUCUGCUGAGCGCGGUACCGACAGCCGCGCACCGCUCCGCGCCACUCACCGCGCCGCGUCCACCCGCAGCUCCUGGAGGGCCGUCCGCAGGCUGCGCUCCUCCUCGUCCUCGUCGUCGUCGUCCUCGUCCUCGUCGUCGUCUGCUGCUGCUGCUGCUCCUCCUCGUCCUCGUGCCGCCUGUUUGCAAGCCAAGGACACGUGAAAGGAACGUCAGCGGGACUGAGGCGGAGCUGCACCCAGCCUGUGGUGGGCGACCCAAUAAAAGCCAACUGUUUCGUAAGCGUGA